GAUGAAGAACGUAGUGAAAUGCGAUACUUGGUGUGAAUUGCAGAAUCCCGUGAACCAUCGAGUCUUUGAACGCAAGUUGCGCCCGAAGCCAUUAGGCCGAGGGCACGCCUGCCUGGGCGUCACACGUCGUUGCCCCCCCAUCUAAUCCUUCGGGAUUGCGGGGGGCGGAUGAUGGCCUCCCGUGCGCCUCGUCGCGCGGUUGGCAUAAAUGCCAAGUCCUCGGCGACGCACGCCACGACAAUCGGUGGUUGCGAAACCUCGGUUGCCCGUCGUGUGCGGUCGUCGCGCAUCGAGGGCUCGAAAAAAUUGCCGGGCUCCGGCUCGACUGUCAACGCGACCCCAGGUCAGGCGGGGUUACCCGCUGAAUUUAAGCAUAUCAAUAAGCGGAGGA
rnacentral:misc_RNA from 1 species